GUAAGUAAAUGGAUUUUCUUGGCUCUGUUCUCUCCCACCCACAACCUUUUUUGGAGGAACAUUCAUUAACUGUAUCAAGAAUUUCAAGUUGAGGGAGCCACAUGUCUUAAAUUUUUCUUUACAUCCUUAACUGACAAAGUUAAUAUAUUCAGAUCAUAAAGCCAAGUUGGGUUUAGGUUCAGUGAUUCAGUGAGUUAUGAAUUACUGACACCCAGCUUUGUUUUGGUCCACUGGGAAAUUUUCUGUCAAAAAUGUCCACUUCAAGACUCUAGGACAAAGAUUAGUCAACAAAUUUAGAGUACUUAUUAUGAGUACUUAUUAAUAAAUACUUACUGAGUGUCUACAAAGAACUUAAAAUGGUUUAGCUGAGGCAAUUAUUGCAAUAACCUGGUGAAGUAGAUUCUCUUAUUUUCCCUUCCCAAUUUUACUGAGGAGGAAACUGAAGCUCAAAGAGAAUCUCUCAUGCAAGCAACGUCAUACAACUAAAGAUAAGCAGCAGCAGAGGAAAUUUUGAGGACUGUCUGCUCCCUAACUCCUCCCUGCAUCAGAUCUCCCUUCAGCACCCUGGGCUCCUCUCCAGUUCCCUGGCCUCUCUUCUGGGACAUAGAACUCAUUCCUGUGGAUGUGUAAGAACGCUGAUGCCUUAUUCCUCCAUGGCCAGGGAAUAUGUUCAUGAUACAGGAAGAGGACAAGAAAAUGAGCAUUCAUGUGGAAAUAUUAGACAUCUCUCUAGGUGGGUAUUUCAGUACAGGGUCUACCCAUCCCCCUUCAAAUCUGCCCUGUAAGUGACUGCAGAAGUUGAAACUUCCAACACUUGAGGCUCCAUCUUAGAGGCAUCAUUCCUCAUUUGGAAACAUCAUUGCCAGAGGCAGAAAUGGCCCAGCAAGUAAACUUUUUUUGGGGGGGUAUAUAAAAUCAAUUAUUAAAUAAAAUAUUGCAGAAGACUGUAGUUAUAUAGGAAAACUUUUUGAAUUUACUUAACAAUGAGAUAUGAAAGGGAAGAAUUCAAUUCUACCCCCGUGGAACUGACAAUAGGAAAAAUGUUCUCCCUUUCAGACUUGAGAAGGUUUUACUGCUAAGAUCUGCGGAUGGAAUAAUCAGGCUGAAUACAAACAUGCUUUUCUUCUCCGAUAGUGCUUAGGAAGCAGUGGUACUUGCACAACUGUUUGUAAGGGGGAGUGAAGUGAGUUGUCAUCUCAUAGUAAUCUGCCUCUCUCUAUCAUCGGCACAGUUCCUAUUUUUUAUUCCCCUCCGGCUUGCUUAGAUUUUCUUUUGGUUUAUUCUCCUGAAAAGUCUUAGAGAGCAUGAGCUAAUAUCAACUAAAUCGUAAAUAUUUAAAGGCAGGCACAAUAUCUGGUAGUUACUGGGUUAUGACCAUGUAAUGCUUGGUGUGAAACCUGAAUUGUUUUUACUUUGUAUUAGGAAUUAAUACCUAUUACUAAACCUGUAUAAAUAAUAAAGUGGCUGGGAAAAAGACAUAAAAUGAGAAAUUGCUACCAUAGAAACUACCAAUGUUUCCACACUGUCACUGUGGUAUAAAAGAGCUCCGUUUUUAAUAAUUUACCAUUAAAAAUGAAUUUUCUCCAAAAGACCACUUCUAUAGUAAUAUCUCAAUUCCCCAAGAUUAUCUAUCAGAGAUAAAAACCAAAGCUGCCUAAUAUCCACAGUCUAGGGAAGAAUUCAAUUAGCAAAUUCAUGUGUGAGGCUCUGCUUGCACUAGAAAUUCUAGUUUAGGUGAGAAUUUUGGUACUGAUUAUGAUUUUUAGUAGCAUCUAUGUCCCUCAUGAAUCUUAACAUUUCAAGCCAGAUUUAUUUUUAUGUGUUAAUAUUCAAGUACAAGAUCUUACAUAAAUAACUAUACAAGCAAGACUGGAUGUGAAAACAGACAUACAAUAAAUGCACUUGUCAUUUUCUAU
rnacentral:lncRNA from 1 species